GGGUAUCAAGAAGGUAUUCAGCAAGUGAUGGAGAAAAAGGACGUUUCUGAUUCCCAAAAGGGAAGCGAUAAAAUCUAAUAAAAGUUUGCGAUAGUAUUUAUGCUUUAUGUAAAAGCUGCAGAAUUGUGACUAAAAUAGUUUAGAAGAUUGGGCAGUUCAGUUUCCAUUUGUAAAAAUUGGUUGAGUUGAGAUUUCUAGUGUCG
rnacentral:misc_RNA from 1 species